AGCAUUUGGCCCAGACGCUGGGGCAAACGCUAACCCGCAGCUGAUUAUUCCUUCUGCAGGGUGGCCGGAAGACUUUGCUGGAAGUAAGGCUGUUGGUCAAACUCGGAGUUUGAAGGAAGAGCUUUGCCGCACAAGUCAUUUUAGUGGUCUCUGCGUGGUGCAUGGCGACAACUCUUGCCCUGAUGGGAAAUCCUGGAAGGUGAAUCAAUCUGAGAUUUGGGGCCACUUCCUAAUGUGAAUCAUACGACUCGCUUGGGUUUUCAAGAUACUAUUUCAUGACAUUGCCUGCCAAUCUCAGUCUUCGACAGCACCAGUCCAGGCCCUGCCCAUUGAGCUGUCUUGGCACUGUGUUAAGUCUGAAGUCUUUCCGCUUUCAUUCCUGCAUGUUUUCCUUAAGUGCCUGAUUAAAACGGCUUCCUCCCAAGAAGCUUUCGGCUCUCACCAUUCAGUCUGGAGACCAGUGGCACUACCGAGGCCUUUGGAGAAACAAACUGGGGCAAGGGCUCAAGAUUGCCUGAGUUUGUUAUUUUUUAAAGCUUAUAUGGAGAAAGAGUCUGGAAACCAAACACAUAACCAGGUUGCCAUAAACUAGUGACACUGAGGAUUUCUGAGUGGGACAGAGCCUUGGAUAAGAUCUGUUCUCCUCUGGAUCCUCUGUGCUUUGGCCGAACAGUUUGAGAAGCGCCGACCAGGAAGACGGAGAACGGGUUUCGCAGCUCCUGCUGGUACAAGUAACUGAAAUCCUACUCACCCUAAAGGAAAAAAAGAAGCGAAGGGAUUAACAGCCCUGGGUAACUCAACCGCAGAAAUAAAACCACUAAAAAAAGGAAUGAAGAA